UAAGGAAUAUUGGUCAAUGGAGGCAACUCUGAACCAGCCAUGCCGCGUGCAGGAUGACGGCCCUAUGGGUUGUAAACUGCUUUUAUACGGGAAUAAACCCCACUACGUGUAGUGGGCUGAAUGUACCGUAAGAAUAAGGAUCGGCUAACUCCGUGCCAGCAGCCGCGGUAAUACGGAGGAUCCAAGCGUUAUCCGGAUUCAUUGGGUUUAAAGGGUGCGUAGGCGGACUUGUAAGUCAGUGGUGAAAUCCUACAGCUUAACUGUAGAACUGCCAUUGAUACUGCUAGUCUUGAGUACAGUUGAUGUGGAUGGAAUGUGUCAUGUAGCGGUGAAAUGCUUAGAUAUGACACAGAACACCGAUCGCGAAGGCAGUUCACAAAACUGGUACUGACGCUGAGGCACGAAAGCGUGGGGAUCAAACAGG
rnacentral:rRNA from 1 species